rnacentral:lncRNA from 1 species
GCCACUCGCGCCUUCAAAGGCCGGUCGGUCCACGGGAUCUUCGCUGGGACUCUGCUACCUUAGGCAAGACCAACUUUGAGGGAAAAUUUCUCUCCCAAACCACUCCUGCGCGCAAAAAGGCCGCGCCCUGGUCAUCCUCUGCUGGAACUGUUCUGGAGGGAACCCGCGCGGCUGUGGGGAGACCCAGGGACGAAGGGGCGCUCCUGCGCCUGCGUACAGGAGCCGAGCGAAGAGGGGCGCUCCCAGUAAAAGUGACAGCUC